rnacentral:lncRNA from 1 species
AUGUUUUGUGAUAGCUCACAUAACUGGAGUGCUGUCAUGGAUGGCUAUGUGCUUUUUAGGAAAGACAGACCAGGAAAGCGAGGUGGUGGGGUUGCUCUUUAUGUGAGAGAGCAACUGGAAUGUAUUGAGCUGUGCCUAGGGGUGGAUGAAGAGCGAGUCGAGAGCUUAUGGGUAAGGAUUAAAGGGCAGGCUARCAUGGGUGACACUGUGGUGGGUGUUUACUACAGGCCACCUGAUCAGGAAGAGGAAGUCGAUGAGGCCUUCUACAAACAGCUGGAAGUAGCCUCACGAUCCCAGGCCCUGGUUCUUAUGGGGGACUUCAAACACCCCGAUAUCUGCUGGAAAGACAACACAGCUAGGCACAAACAGUCCUGGAGGUUCCUGCAGAGCAUUGGUGACAACUUCUUGACACAGGUGGUGGAGGAGCCAACAAGGAGAGGUGUGCUGCUGGACCUCGUACUAACAAACAAAGAAGGACUGGUGGAAGAUGUGAAGGUCGGGGGCAGCCUUGGCUGCAGUGACCAUGAGAUGGUGGAGUUCAGGAUCCUGCGAGGAGGCGGCAGGGCACUAAGUAGGAUCGCAACCCUGGACUUCAGGAGAGCAAACUUUGGCCUCUUCAGGGACCUGCUUGGAGGAAUCCCAUCGGUUAGGGCCCUAGAAGGAAGGGGCGUUCAAGAGAGCUGGUUAAUAUUCAAACAUCACCUCCUCCAGGCUCAAGAGCGGUGCAUCCCUAUGAGUAGGAAGUCAAGCAAAGGAGGCAGGAGACCUACAUGGAUGAGCAAGGAGCUCCUGGCAAAACUCAACCAGGAGAAGGAAGUCUACAGAAAGUGGAAAGGAGGACAGGCCACUUGGGAGGAAUAUAGGAACGCUGUCAGAGUAUGCAGGGAUGCGAUGAGGAAGGCUAAGGCCCGUUUGGAAUUAAAUCUGGCAAGGGAUGUCAAGGACAACAAGAAGGGCUUCUUCACUACAUCAGUAGCAAGAGGAAGACUAGGGAAAAUGUGGGCCUGCUGCUGA